UACGGAGGGUGCAAGCGUUAAUCGGAAUUACUGGGCGUAAAGCGCACGCAGGCGAUCUGUCAAGUCGGAUGUGAAAUCCCCGGGCUCAACCUGGGAACUGCAUUCGAAACUGGCAGGCUAGAGUCUUGUAGAGGGGGGUAGAAUUCCAGGUGUAGCGGUGAAAUGCGUAGAGAUCUGGAGGAAUACCGGUGGCGAAGGCGGCCCCCUGGACAAAGACUGACGCUCAGGUGCGAAAGCGUGGGGAGCAAACAGG
rnacentral:rRNA from 1 species